AGUUAUUAAUUUGGGAGCUAUUUUUUGUUAUAUUUGUGUGUGAGUUGCAGCAAGAUUUUAAUAUUUUUGAGCUUGAUAGAAAUUUCAGUUUUACCCUAACAAAAGAUAUGAUUUAUCUUAUUAUUCCUUUUAAGCACUGAAUAGAUGGUGGAACUCCUGCCAACCCUCCUCUCUCCCAGCUCGAUGAGUUAAUCUUUGAGAUUUUGGACCCUAAGAAUGUCUCUAUUCAUGGGUGUACCAAUAAGGCAAGCAUCAUUGAAUGCACCUUCCUUAACAAAGGAUAAGCCACUUGUAGAUAUAGCAAUAUUAGGCCAUAAUGUUGUCUCAAAUGUCUGCAAUCCAAAAUACUCGUUCCCAUUUAGUUUACAACUUAGAGUUAAACACAAUAGUAAAUUUGUUAUCUAGUGUUGAGA